rnacentral:rRNA from 1 species
UACGUAGGGGCUAGCGUUAUCCGGAAUUACUGGGCGUAAAGGGUGCGUAGGUGGUUUCUUAAGUCAGAGGUGAAAGGCUACGGCUCAACCGUAGUAAGCUUUUGGAACUGUAAGACUUGAGUGCAGGAGAGGAGAGUGGAAUUCCUAGUGUAGCGGUGAAAUGCGUAGAUAUUAGGAGGAACACCAGUAGCGAAGGCGGCUCUCUGGACUGUAACUGACGCUGAGGCACGAAAGCGUGGGGAGCGAACAGGAUUAGAUACCCUGGUAGUCCCUGA